GUUGCAUGGCUGUCGUCAGCUCGUGUCGUGAGAUGUUGGGUUAAGUCCCGCAACGAGCGCAACCCUUGCCUUUAGUUGCCAGCAGUUCGGCUGGGCACUCUAAAGGGACUGCCGGUGUUAAACCGGGAGGAAGGUGGGGGAUGACGUCAAGUCCUCAUGGCCUUUAUGACCAGGGCUACACACGUACUACAAUGGCCGAUACAAAGGGCAGCGACACUGCGAGGUGAAGCCAAUCCCGUAAAAUCGGUCUCAGUCCGGAUUGGAGUCUGCAACUCGACUCCAUGAAGUUGGAAUCGCUAGUAAUCGUGGAUCAGCAUGCCACGGUGAAUACGUUCCCGGGCCUU
rnacentral:rRNA from 1 species